GAUGAACGCUAGCUACAGGCUUAACACAUGCAAGUCGAGGGGAAACGGCAUUGAGUGCUUGCACUCUUUGGACGUCGACCGGCGCACGGGUGAGUAACGCGUAUCCAACCUUCCCAUUACUGUGGGAUAACCUGCCGAAAGGCAGACUAAUACCGCAUAGUCUUCGAUGACGGCAUCAGAUUUGAAGUAAAGAUUUAUCGGUAAUGGAGGGGGAUGCGUCUGAUUAGCUUGUUGGCGGGGUAACGGCCCACCAAGGCUACGAUCAGUAGGGGUUCUGAGAGGAAGGUCCCCCACAUUGGAACUGAGACACGGUCCAAACUCCUACGGGAGGCAGCAGUGAGGAAUAUUGGUCAAUGGACGGAAGUCUGAACCAGCCAAGUAGCGUGCAGGAUGACGGCCCUAUGGGUUGUAAACUGCUUUUGUAUGGGGAUAAAGUUAGGGACGUGUCCCUAUUUGCAGGUACCAUACGAAUAAGGACCGGCUAAUUCCGUG
rnacentral:rRNA from 1 species